UAUGAAGAACGCAGCGAAAUGCGAUAAGUAAUGUGAAUUGCAGAAUUCAGUGAAUCAUCGAAUCUUUGAACGCACAUUGCGCCCGCCAGUAUUCUGGCGGGCAUGCCUGUCUGAGCGUCAUUUCAACCCUCAUGCCCCUAGGGCGUGGUGUUGGGGAUCGGCCAAAGCCCGCGAGGGACGGCCGGCCCCUAAAUCUAGUGGCGGACCCGUCGUGGCCUCCUCUGCGAAGUAGUGAUAUUCCGCAUCGGAGAGCGACGAGCCCCUGCCGUUAAACCCCCAACUUUCCAAGGUUGACCUCAGAUCAGGUAGGAAUACCCGCUGAACUUAAGCAUAUCAAUAAGCGGAGGA
rnacentral:misc_RNA from 1 species